rnacentral:rRNA from 1 species
UAGUUAAUAGCUGCAUUAUUGACGUUAGCGACAGAAGAAGCACCGGUUAAUUCCGUGCCAGCAGCCGCGGUAAUACGGAGGGUGCGAGCGUUAAUCGGAAUUACUGGGCGUAAAGCGCAUGCAGGUGGUUUGUUAAGUCAGAUGUGAAAGCCCGGGGCUCAACCUCGGAAUAGCAUUUGAAACUGGCAGACUAGAGUACUGUAGAGGGGGGUAGAAUCUCAGGUGUAGCGGUGAAAUGCGUAGAGAUCUGAAGGAAUACCGGUGGCGAAGGCGGCCCCCUGGACAGAUACUGACACUCAGAUGCGAAAGCGUGGGGAGCAAACAGGAUUAGAUACCCUGGUAGUCCACGCCGUAAACGAUGUCUACUUGGAGGUUGUGGCCUUGAGCCGUGGCUUUCGGAGCUAACGCGUUAAGUAGACCGCCUGGGGAGUACGGUCGCAAGAUUAAAACUCAAAUGAAUUGACGGGGGCCCGCACAAGCGGUGGAGCAUGUGGUUUAAUUCGAUGCAACGCGAAGAACCUUACCUACUCUUGACAUCCAGAGAACUUUCCAGAGAUGGAUUGGUGCCUUCGGGAACUCUGAGACAGGUGCUGCAUGGCUGUCGUCAGCUCGUGUUGUGAAAUGUUGGGUUAAGUCCCGCAACGAGCGCAACCCUUAUCCUUGUUUGCCAGCGAGUAAUGUCGGGAACUCCAGGGAGACUGCCGGUGAUAAACCGGAGGAAGGUGGGGACGACGUCAAGUCAUCAUGGCCCUUACGAGUAGGGCUACACACGUGCUACAAUGGCGCAUACAGAGGGCGGCCAACUUGCGAAAGUGAGCGAAUCCCAAAAAGUGCGUCGUAGUCCGGAUUGGAGUUUGCAACUCGACUCCAUGAAGUCGGAAUCGCUAGUAAUCGUGGAUCAGAAUGCCACGGUGAAUACGUUCCCGGGCCUUGUACACACCGCCCGUCACACCAUGGGAGUGGGCUGCAAAAGAAGUAGGUAGUUUAACCUUCGGGGGGGG